GCUCUAACGCACCAUAUUCUAAGGUCCCUUCCAGCUCUGACAUUCUAUGAUCUACAUUCAUAGGAUCAAAGGAUUCAGAACUGGAUGGGAUCUUAGGCAGAGCAUCCAGUUCAACC
rnacentral:precursor_RNA from 15 species